AACGAACGCUGGCGGCAGGCCUAACACAUGCAAGUCGAGCGGAUCCUUCGGGAUUAGCGGCGGACGGGUGAGUAACGCGUGGGAAUAUGCCCUUCUCUACGGAAUAGCCUCGGGAAACUGGGAGUAAUACCGUAUACGCCCUACGGGGGAAAGAUUUAUCGGAGAAGGAUUAGCCCGCGUUGGAUUAGGUAGUUGGUGGGGUAAUGGCCUACCAAGCCCACGAUCCAUAGCUGGUUUGAGAGGAUGAUCAGCCACACUGGGACUGAGACACGGCCCAGACUCCUACGGGAGGCAGCAGUGGGGAAUCUUAGACAAUGGGGGAAACCCUGAUCUAGCCAUGCCGCGUGAGUGAUGAAGGCCUUAGGGUUGUAAAGCUCUUUCAGCUGGGGAGAUAAUGACGGUACCAGCAGAAGAAGCCCCGGCUAACUCCGUGCCAGCCGCCGCGGUAAGAC
rnacentral:rRNA from 1 species